rnacentral:rRNA from 1 species
CAAUAGCGUAUAUUUAAGUUGCUGCAGUUAAAAAGCUCGUAAUUGGAUUUCGGGUGGGAAUGGCCGGUCCGCCGUUUCGGUGUGCACUUGCUACGCCCACCUUGCUGCCGGGGACGUGCUCUUGAGUUCACGCUCGGGACACGGAGUCGGCGAGGUUACUUUGAGUAAAUUAGAGUGUUCAAAGCAGGCCUACGCUCUGAAUACAUUAGCAUGGAAUAACACGAUAGGACUCUGGCCUAUCUUGUUGGUCUGUAGGACCGGAGUAAUGAUUAAGAGGGACAGUCGGGGGCAUUCGUAUUUCAUUGUCAGAGGUGAAAUUCUUGGAUUUAUGAAAGACGAACUACUGCGAAAGCAUUUGCCAAGGAUGUUUUCAUUAA